CGCUACAAGCCCACCGUUUCCUUGUUCAAAUCUCCAUUUGGCUCCCAUCGCUUUCACUCUGCCUUUGGACUGUCAUCAAACUGCCUCUCCUCCGCCACGCUUUGCAAGAUCUGUGGGAUCCAAGAAUUGGGCCAAGCCCUCCCUCCGCCUCUGGCGCGCACUCAGCUCUCCCCCUGGGGGUGCUUGUUGUCCCCGCCCUGUCUCCUGCCUGGUCGCAGGCACCUGGCACCUGGCACACCCCACACCACAUCUCAGAACCUGGCACGUGUCAUCGAGGCCUGUCAGCUGCGCUUCCUACCCCCACCCCCCCGCCGAGACAAUGAAUGGACACCAUUCUAAAAAUUAUUUCAGCUGUGAAGACAAUAGAAGAAGAGGUAAUAGGAUCAAGAAUGAGAUUUGACCCAAGACGUGAUUGAAGAAACACAAGGUUCCGAACCAAUGGCGAAAUAAGGUAGAACUAAGCAGAAGGGGCAAAAAGGUCACCUGUAUUACUUAAAGCUGCCGACGGACAAUGUGCCUCGUGCUAUUGGGACUUUGGCAGGAGCUGGAAAACAGCAUGGGGAAACGCGGUUUCACAAGCUUGCAGACAUCACCUCCUUUCUGUCUGGAGAGACCCCCGUGCGGUUUCCGUCCUGCUGUUGGAGCUUCGGCAGGUUGGCACAGGUCCACAAGAGGAGAACUUCUCUCUGUUGUUCACAGCUAACUUCCUGACACACAGUUUGUGCUCGGUAAGUACCUGUGACUGCUUCAGAGCUACCUGUUGAAGGAAUUCAUUACUGAGUGAAAAAAAGCGUUCGGGGAAGGACAGAAAGGUCAGCGGUGAGGUCAUCCAGAGGAUAUGGAAUAUGACAUAUGCCUAAUUCUUGGACUGCCUAUUUGGGGAGUUAACAGCCUAGUCAAUAAGGAGGCAUCAGGAACCACAGCAGUCUGGGCAUUGGGAUCGAGGGGAGAAGCCCAGGAACCUAUCUUGGGGUAUUUAGAAACAAAGCCAAUCAUCAGAGGCCCAUCACAGAGAAUGCUCUUGAGGAGUGGGCAUCUUUCUGCUCCCCUGCCCCUCUCACCUCCUCUGCGGGGCUCACACAGAGCCCCCAUCCGCAGCAGGACGAGGUUCUAUCCUGAGAUGCUUUGGGAUUUCCAUGUCCUCAGACACUGCCAAGGAGAUUCACAAAGGCCGCGGAGCUCUGGGGCCCACAAAUGGCGGAACAAAGAGUAUCUCGCUUUCAACACGACUGACGGAACAUUAUUUCACUUUGACCUGCCUAGCCAUUGGCUCUGCAAUUUGAUUGGUAAUUGAAAGCUGGUGGAGGAGGCUUGGGCAGAGCAAGCAGGCAGCAGAGACGCCGGGCGGGAGUGCUGAAUACAAGUCAAGCUGAACCGACAGAGCCACGUGUCUUUUGCCCAGAAAUGAGAGUUGAUAUCCCCAAGGCAGCGAAGGAGACCACAGAAAAGGAGGCUGAGAUCUAGUUCUGUCUGAGUCCUGGUGAACGGCAACAGAUCUUGCUUUGUCCGCUUCUCGAGUCUGCUGCGGAGGGAGCUGUGGGACGGGGCAUUUUCUCUCUCGUGACUGGCCUGCAGGCAGGACUGCGCCCCCUGGCAGCGGCCCUUCUCCAGCCUUCACGGGGACGGGGACGGGCCUCCCCUGCACCUGGCCUGGGUCAUGCUCUCCCAGCCCUCACGGCUCCUGCGUGCAGGAUUACUGCUAUGACUGCCCAUCUGAGGUCUGCCUCCAGUCUUGUGCCCAGCUUCAGUCUACUUUCCAUGUUGCAGCCGGAGGGAUCCAUUCAGCACCAGAGCUGUCAAAUUCCUUAACGUGGCAUCCACAGCUCCCAGUAUUCUGGCUGAAACCUAGCUCUCCUGCUCAGCUUCUGUUACUUAUCACUAAAACUCAUCUGGACCCAUGACAUCAACCUUGGCAUGUCUGAAGAAUGAGGAACAAGGAUUUUGCCUUGUUUGGAACCGAAAGAGAGGAAUAUCCAUUUUCCCUCUUUUUUCCAUUUUUAUGGAGACAGUAUUUUUUGCUUUUAGCUGGAUGAUGUAUACUUUUAACAUUCCAGGAAAAAAAGUGUCAGUGAUAUGCACGUCAUAACAAAAGAAAAUCAAAAGAAAUGAAAUUACAAGGAACAGGGAACUUCAUCAUUUUGAGUAUGAAAUGCCUGGAGGAAAAUCUAAUUUAAAAAAUUACCAGCACCAUGUAAAUGAGAGAGAAUAUACAAAAAGAUGUGUUAUAUUAAAAAUUAACUUAAUCUUUCUGGCUCUCGGACUUUACCCCUUAUUUUUAAAGGCCAAAAAUUAUCAUUUGGUGCUGGAUAAAGAGUAAAGCUCACACUAAUAUAAUGUAAUACUAACAAGUAACAACAGAUCCUCCUGGUCUCUGCCUGUUGGCUGGGACAUAACAGGACACAAAAAAAGUUGUUAAAUUAAGAGUGAAUGCUUAUCGAGAAUGAAACAAUAGCCUUCUCUUUCUCAUGAUUACAAAGGUAUCUAUUGUAAAUGAAAAAAAAAAUUCACAUGGCAUACUGUAUUUGAUAAAAUGCCUCAUUAUCUAUCAACUGGUUUGACCUUCAUGAAAACCCACAGUUAAGUUAUGACCAUUUUACAGAUGAUCAAGAAUAUGUUUAACUUUUUCAAGGACACGUGGUUACUUGACGGUGGAACCAGGAGUCAAGCCCAGAAUUCUGACAUAAUGUAUCUUGCCUUUCAACCUUUCACAAGGCCUCCCUAAACACUGGGAUGACUCCCAUCUAUUUAGCUUGUACGGAGCCAGGAUAUCGUAGCUUGAAUACAGCAGUGACUUACCCCCUCGUAACAUCUCUGUCUCUUUGGAAAAGUUUAAACUCUGAGGAAAAAAAAUCAAGCUUAUUUAUAUCAUAAAUCUUGGCUGUCAACAGAGGGCUUUGGACUUGUCUCUGCCUAAGUUGCUCUUCUAGCUCAGUGAGAUUUAACUCUGCCACCUUCAACCCAUAUUAAAAGAAACUGGAACCAUUCAUACGUUUAGAGUGAGAGUCCAAAUAAUAAUGCAAUAACACAGCCUUCCUUUAAAACCUUCUUCUUGAGGGAAUCUCCAAUUUUCCUUUCAGGCAUGAAAAAUAGCACUGUUCUCACAGUGGCCUGGCAGAGGGUUAGAGCGAGGAAGGGAGGAGGUGCCACUAAUAAUACUGAUUUCUAGCCAAUUCUCUAGUUUUGGUUUGGAAUCAAGCACAAUGCUGAACUAUAUGGCUCUCUACAGAAAGGGCUCUCAUUUCAUAAGGCUUUUAGAUUUGGGGAGAGAAGUUUCCUUUGUCCAGAUGUGAUUUUGUGCCCACUUUGCUUGAGUCAGCCUCAAAAUGAAAGAAAUGGAUACCUGGUAGAAAGAUUUCUCUCCUCUUCCUUCAGCAGCAUCACUUCCAGAGUGGAUGCCACAGAAAGUACCUGCUCUCACCUUCUAGCAAAAGUGGUGGGCCCAGAGGGGCCCAGAGAAAAGCAGGAAAAUUACUUUUGUCCAUCAGACAUUAUAAUAAUUUUUCUUCUUCUAUUGCUAUGUUUAUCUACCCUUUUUUUUUCUUCCCAUAUCCCUCUGAAUUUGCCAUCCCCUCACUUUCUCUUAGCGUUUGUCUUUGAUCCUAUCAGUCUCCUCUCAAACUGUUCCCCUGAUGCUGUGGAACUGUUAUCCCUAAGCCUUCUCUGUAUCCCACAGCCUGGCAUACAUUCUAGAACUGGAUUCUGCUCAGCCUUUUGGAGAGCUGUUUUAGUUUGAUACACCAGCACUGUCCAUGUGGUGGACCUAAAGUUACCUAAAAAUCCUGAAACUUACACACAGUGUAGAGAACUUCUGGCAGUGCAAGUGCCAGGGAUGCUGCACUGCAACGUAAAAGGUGAUACUCAGGAAGGGGUUCUCUGGGUUGGGAGAGUGCGACCAACUCUCCAAACACUACUGGGCGGCUCCUGUCACAGUCCAGUUGGACAGACAACACUCUUCAAAGACCAAUCAGCUGUAUCUCCACCAAGAAGGCCAAUGGCCUCUUUUCAUCCUGACUUACAGAGAUGUCACCGUAAGCUUCAACAAGUUACUUGGUGAG